GUUUUAAAAGCACUCACAUGCAUGAAACUUUUUUCCUUUUUUCUCUACCUAUCGAUCCAUUGGUGAUUGACAAACUCCUUGGAGCCCCAUAGAUGGCUUCCCCUUACCAUGGAAAAAGGGUCCGGGUAUCUUUUUUUUACCGAACCGAACACCCUUUUUUCAUCGUCUUCCUUAGUGAGGAAGAUGAUGAACAGUACAAGGAUGUGACCUGUUUCUAAAAGAAAAAAAUUGUGAGGGUUAUUAUUCAAUUUUAAAAAAUUUACGGGUUCCAAUAGAGUAUCUGGAACCGGUGGUAUAAUAUAGGUUCCGGAUAGGUUCUAAUUCUAGGAUGCAACAUGAUAGGGUCUGGUUUUAAAAUCUUAGAACAUGUUCUUUACAAGAUAGGGUCCGGGUAUCGUAAAAAAUAUAAUUAAAUAGUUAAAUAUUUUUAUUAUUAUACUAGGCUCAUGUGCCUCAUUUGUAAUCGAAAAAUAAUCAAAUAUGUCAACUAUAUGCCACUUGAGGUUAAAUGACCGUUGACUGUUAUAGGCUUCUUUUAAAAGCUUGACCAAAUUUAAACUUCAAUAGUAAGAGUAAUAUCUAAAUAAAAAAUUAAAGAAACAUGAAAAUAUUGCAAACUCGUAGAACCACUGUAAUAUAUAUCUGCACUUUAGACUGCAGGAGAAUCUAUCUAUUCUAUAUUUUAUGUAAUUUAAAUUUAAAUUAUUCGUGUAAAAGCCUCACAUCCGUGCUAUGACAAACUUCCACAUAGGCAUUUUGGAUAUUUGCCUAAAUUAAAUUACUCCUCUUCAGCUUGCGGUCGAUCGACCCUUCCUAUUCCCUAACAUUAAUAUUUUGCAUCGAUUUAUAUUAAUAUUUAAUAAUGAAUUAGUUUUUUUUCCAAAGCAUGCCCAGUAAUUAUUAUUGAUACAGAUUAUUUAGAUUAUUGGAAAUAUUAUAAAUUAUUAUUGAUUUGGCCCAAAAUGCAACUUGAUAAUUAUGAAAAAUAAAAUUCAAUGAGUAUGUAAAAGGCCCUGCAGUAUGACAUGGGGUCGAAUUAGUUUGUCGACUCAAAUCAAUUUGGUUGUUAUGGUCAGACUUUAUGCUGGAUUUCUACAUAUGAGAUGUCAUUCGCUGUACUGUACAAUCGACAUUGGUAUCCUAACAAAUGUUGCAUAAGCCUAAGAGUAAGAGGAAAGCGCGGAUAGGAUCUGCGUGAUGGCAUUUGCCAUUUUCAAGUUGGCUUGAUCUUCGCCAGCUUCAUCAGACUCGUUGUGCUGCUCGUUCCUCUUCGAAGUGGUAUUCAUAGGGAUCCCUUUAUUGUAGUCUUCUCCUCCUUGUCCACCAGCAGCAACAGCCCUGGCCAUAUAUGCAAGAAUGUUCCUAGAAGAGUUUCUAAAAUUGGUCAAGAUUGGAUUGGGACUCGGAGUCGGAGCCCACCUAGCUUGGCAGUUUAAUUCAUGGUUAACCGUCGGCUGUGUCAAGACUCAGGAAAUGCUUCGGUGUAGCCAUCACCAGUGCUCCCAGUGCCGUCAUCAUUUCGUGUGCGUGGAGGGAGUACGUAAUGAACUUCCUUGUCUUUCUACAAAAUCCAUGGCCGCACGACUUCCCUACUCUUAUCUGUGUUUGGUGAAGAUCAAGUUAGGAUAGAAGGGAGGAUUGGACAGGAUAACUUGGACGACCACCACCUCUCAGCAGCCAGUCACCCGUCACGCCCUUGCUGCCGCUGCCCCCGCGAUUCAAGCAGCAACUUGAACUACACAUGCUUUAUCGGGCUCGCUUGAGGUCGCCGAGCUGUCCGGGACAAACUCAAGAAUAUUUUCAAAAUAUUUUUGUUUUCAAUAACUUCGAAUGUAUAAAAUAUUUAAUUCCACUGUUUUAUUAGUUGGUUUAAGUUUACAGUUCCAAUAA